UGAGUUAUUCUACUAAAAAACAUUAAAAGAUAAUAGUAUAGAACCUGUUCUUUGAUAACUGCACAGUUAAAAACAUGAAACUUCUUAUACACGACUCUUAUGAAACAGUCGGUAUCAAAUUUCCAUAAAAUGUUAUUAUCCUUAGAGAGAGAAGAAGCAAUGUAAAAUAUGAAGUCCUAUUUCCAUACGCAUCUAAGUUCGAAAUUCGGAUCACGGCGUGUGAUAAAUUUUGUUUGAAUACCGGUUAAUUUUUCAAACGCAC